rnacentral:lncRNA from 1 species
CCAAGGUCAUAUAAAGACUAUGCUUAAACUUGCGAAGCUUCUUCACUACAAAGGUCUUCACAUCACGUUUGUCAGCACAGAAUUCAAUCACAAACGUUUCCUUAGGUCAAGAGGACCUCAUGCCCUUGAUGACUUGCCUGGCUUCCAUUUUAGAACCAUUCCCGAUGGUCUCCCUCCUUCAGAUAUUGGUGCCACCCAAGACAUUCCUUCUCUUUGUCAUGCCAUGAACAAGAAUUUCUUAGCACCCUUUAAAGAUCUUCUUUUACAACUCAAAAAUACAGUAUCGGAGAACAACCCUCCGAUUACCUGCAUUGUUUCUGAUCCUUUUGCUCCAUUCUCCAUCAAAGCUGGGGAAGAAGUUGGUCUUCCAGUUGUGAUGUAUGCCACUACGAAUGCAUGUGGCUAUAUGGGAUGUAAACAGCUCUAUGCUCUCAGAGAGAAAGGCUUCACCCCCAUCAAAGGUAUAUUCACAUACUUGUUUAAUUACAAGUGAACUUCCAAGAAAAGUGGCUUUAUUACUAUUAUACAACUUCAUUAGUAUUUUACAGCUUUAUUCUUUUCUAAAUUUUCAAACAAAUGGUUGAGAUUAUCCUAGAAAUCAAAUGGUUGAGAUCCUUCUACAAAUAAUUUCAAAAAUUAUAGGGUAUGAGAGAUUUCAGAUCAUUUUUUAUUCUAUUAUUCUAGCUAGUACUCGGUAAUUAUAGGUAAAAUUCUUAUGAUGGUGGAGAGUAUCCUCAUUUUUAACAAGGUGAAACUGGAUUGAGUUUCCGGUUUCUCAUUAAUCUUGCAUAUUGCAUAGAUUAUUUGUUUGGCUAAAGUGUAAUGAAUACAAUUUCAGCUAUAAUGAUAAUGAUAGUAUUUGGAUGUGAAAAAAAUAUGAAUCACUAACUUGAUUGCUUUUUUCUUUUAUAUUUCUUUUUGUUCUCUCUUUAUCUCAUUUACGGCGCAUUCAUUUUAUUUUACUCAACAUUUUAGAAAUUAUCUUUUAAAUGAUUUCUUUUUUAUUAAUACACUUUAUUAUUAUUGAAAAAAUAUUAGAAUUUAAUUAAUUUGGUAUGCCCGCGUUCCGACAAAAAUUUCCAAGCUUAAAUCACACAGGCAAGAUCAAUGAUUAUGUGCAAAAGAAUUUCAUUUUGAGCUUGGUCUAAUAAGAUUGUGUUUUGCAGAUUUGAGCAAUCUAAGCAACGGCUAUCUUGAGACAAAAGUAGACUGGGCUCCUGGUAUGAAAGACGUUCGUCUUAAAGAUUUUCCAUUUAUUCAAACAACAGAUCCAGAUGAAGUUGUAUUUAACUUUGUCAUUGGGGUUGCUGAAACUUCUGUUAAAGCUCGUGCAAUUGCUUUUCAUACUUUUGACGCCUUGGAACCAGAAGUUUUAGAUGGCCUUUCCACUAUUUUCCCUCGAGUUUAUUCCAUCGGUCCACUCCAGUUACUCCUAAAUCAAUUCGAAGAAAAUGGUUUGAAGUCUAUUGGUUACAGUCUGUGGAAAGAAGACCAUGAGUGUCUCCAAUGGCUGGAAACAAAGGAACCCAAAUCAGUGGUGUACGUGAAUUUUGGAAGCAUAACAGUGAUGACAGCUGAUCAACUGGUGGAGUUUGCAAUGGGAUUAGUUAAUAGUAAUAUCCCAUUCUUGUGGAUUAUAAGGCCAGAUUUGGUCGUCGGUGAAUCAGCUGUUUUACCAGCUGAAUUUGAAGAGGAAACUGAAAAGCGAGGCUUUAUUACAAGUUGGUGUCCACAAGAGGAAGUGCUUAACCAUCCAGCAGUUGGAGGGUUUCUAACUCAUAGUGGCUGGGGUUCAACCAUUGAGAGCUUGUGUGCUGGUGUUCCAUUGGCGUGUUGGCCCUUCUUCGCUGAUCAAGCAAUGAACUGUAGAUAUAGCUGCAAUGAAUGGGGAGUUGGAAUGGAGAUUGAUAAUAACGUCAAGAGGGAAGAAGUGGAGAUGCUGGUGAAGGAGCUCAUGGAAGGGGAAAAGGGUGAGAAAAUGAGGGGAAAGGCUAUGGAGUGGAAAAGGUUGGCUGAAGAAGCUGUUGGGCCAGAGGGUACAUCAUCCAUUAAUUUGGACAAGUUCAUCCAUGAAAUAAUCUCUUCAAACAAUUAGAUCGUCGACACGCUAGAAUAAAAAAAAAAUCAUAAAAGAUCAAAUUUCGUUCGUCUGUGAAAAGAUCAAAUUUCCUUCCAGUUGCCUUUUUUUGGAAUUUAAAUAUCAUAAUAAAUAAAUGCUCCAUUUUCGAAUAUGGUAUGAUAUCUUGGAAACCUGUUGAUACUUCUAUCUCUACAUCCAAAGCUAUCAUAUCGUCAGAUCUUUUGUUUUUUAAUGCUUCACGUUUUCGUCAAAUUAUGGGUGUUCUUCAAUAUCUCAGUUUUGCGAGACCAGAUAUUUGCUUUGUUGUUAACAGAGUCUAUCAGUUUAUGCAUGCUCCUACAGACUCUCAUUGGGCUGCUGUUAAACGCAUUUUGCGUUAUCUUAACGGUACGACAACACAUGGCCUACAUAUUACUCAUAGUUCUUUCUUUCCAUUACAUGGCUUUACAAAUGCAGAUUCUGCAGGUAGUAUUGAUGAUAAAAAAAUCUACGAGUGGUUAUCUUGUGUCCUUUGGUUAUCUUAAGCAACGUACAAUUGCUCGCUCCUCUAUCGAAGCUGAGUACAAAUCCUUAGCAGAUGGUAUUGCUGAGGUUAUCUGGCUUGACUAUUUAUUAACAGAUCUUCAGAUUCUGUCUGUUUCAGCUCCUAUAAUUUGGUGUUAUAAUCUUGGUGCCACUUAUUUAUCUGCGAAUCAUGUUUUUCAUUCUUACACAAAACAUGUUGAGGUUGAUUAUCAUUUUGUUCGAGAUUGAGUUGCGAAGAGGGAGAUUCAGAUUCGUUUCAUUUUCUCUCGGGAUCAACUUGCAUAUGUCUUUACUAAGCCACUUCCUACUGCUUCGUUUACUGCUUUUCGUUUCAAGCUUCGGGUCGAUCGUCUACCCUAAGCUUGAGAGGGCAUAUUAUAGAAUGUAUACUAUAUAUGAAAUAUUAUGGGCACUACUAUAGUAUUAAUUGUAUUCUCUACAUUAACUAUUAUAUAUUGCCCUACACAUAUAAAUAGAAAAGGAUUGGUUAAAUCAAAAGUUAAGCCUCCUAAUUAUUCUCAACUAUUACCAGUGAGUCAACGAUUUUGCCGGCUGAGUUUCAAGUGGAAACUUAGAACCGUGGUUUCGUAACUAGUUGGUGUCCACAAGAGGAAGUUCUGAACCACCCAUCAGUUGGUGUCAAAGAACCAUCUCAACCCAAUAGCUUAAACUGUUAGGUAAGGUCCCAAGAUAUGAUUUAUAUUAUUCUCUAACACACCCCCUCAAGUGAAAGCCCUUUGAAAUUGAAACUUGCACAAGCCUAUAUUAUCUUGUGCUUAAUUUUUAUCAAAUAACUGGGGAUGGUGAGAUUCGAACUCGUGACCGCUUGGUCAUUAAGGUUUUGAUACCAUGUCAAAGAACCAUCUCAACCCAAUAGCUUAAGCUGUUAGGUGAAGUUUCAGGAUAUGAUUUAUAUUAUUAUCUAACAGUUGGGGGAGAUUUCUAACUCAUACCGGUUGGAAUUCGAUUAUUGAAAGCUUGUGUGCUGGAGUGCCAGUGAUAUGUUGGCCUUUAUUUGCUGAUCAACCAAUAAAUUGUAGCUGUGCUUGCAUUGAAUGGGGAGUUGGCAUGGAGAUUGAUAACAAUGUCAAGAGAGAAGAAGUGGAGAAGCUUAUCAGGAACUUGAUGGGAGGAGAAAGUGUAAGAAAAUGAGGGAAAAGGCCAAACACUGGAGGAAGGUGGCGGAAGAGGCUACUGUCCCUAGCUAAUGGUUCAUCAUCCAUUAAUUUAGACAGUUUCAUCAAUGAAAUGUUACAAUCAAACAUCACUCUGUAACCUAUGAUCAUUCAAAAGAGAAAAUACUUUUGUGAUGGGAUUUUAUUGCUUGCCAAUUGAAGAUAGCUAGUGUUUGCACUAAUGGUGUUUGUCUCGAUAGUCCAUAUGCAUGGUUGUCUGGAACGUCCCAAGAACCUAGCACGCAACUGAACAGCUUCUAGGUCUACAAAUUAAGACAUAUCCAGUCCAAUGAGCUCGGGCGUAGAAAUUUGUCCAUUGAACAGUCCCUGUUAAAGAUCAAUCCAGAAAUUAAUUUAGCUAAUGGUGUUUUUUUUUCUGGGCCCAGCUCAGCCCACGUGGGCUGGGCUAGACCCAACCAUCCUGGCCCGGUUACUGGCCUAAGCCAGUGAUCCGGCUGGCUGAAGCACGCAUGCGUGAACUAUUCACGCAUGCUGUGCACAGUGGGAAGGUAAUUAAAAUUACCUUAUCCCUGUACUUAUACAACUAUAAAUGAAAGGGAGCGGGAAGCUUACCUGGAAGCAGGAACGAAGACGAUGACGAAGGCGUGGUGGCUGGCUGUUCCUCCUGUUCGUUCGUCUCCUCUCUGCUUCUGGUUUUUUCUUAGAGACGAAGGAACGAAGAUGAUGAUGAUGCCGGUUCUCUCUGGUGGUCUUGAUUCUGGGUCCUUCUUUUUCUGCUGUUAUUUUGGGUUUCUUCCUCUGCUUAUGACGGUUCGGAGUGGUGCCAGGCUGAUCAAUGUUUACAGUUUCUCUGUUUUCCCUUGUUCACUUUGCUUGCGUCCUGGGGACGAAGACAACGCUGGCUUUUGCUCUCUCCUCCUUUUUCUUUUUAGUUUGUCUCUCCCUGUUUCCAGUGUUCUUCCCCUGUCUUUUUUUUUUUGUUUCGGUUCGUGCUCUCCCUCUCCUUCUCUAGUCCAGUAUGUCUAUCUCCGUGCGUCCUCUGUUUUUUUUCUGCCCUCUCAGUUUAGUUCCCCCUCUGUUCGUCUGUAUUUUCUCUCUUUGUCCCCUGUAUUUUUUUUCUGUUUCGGUUCGUGAUCUGCCCCCUGCUUCCCCCGCUGUGAGGCCUUUCUCUGGCUUUUAUAAAGCCAGAGAAGGUCGUGUGUUCAUGCCUCAACAAAUGAGGCACGUUCCGUGAGGGAUCGUGGUUCAUGAUCUGCUGGCAGUGUUUCCUGUUGAUCCGGUCUUCCGGAUGAGGAGAUGAUGAACAGUGGUUCAAAACGGCGCCGUUUAUAUCUGGUGUUUUCAACUUAGCCCCUGAACUUCUAACAUUAACAAUUGGGUUCCUGAUUUCAUUAAUUAAACUAAUUCCAAGUUCACUUAAGUCCCCAAACUUAUCAAUUCUUCAAUUAAGCUCUUAAUGUGAUUAAUGAAACUACUCCCAAGUUUAAUUAAGUCCUUAAACUUUCAAUUAUGUUGCCUUAGCUCAAAUUUUAAUUUAUCCUUCAUUCAUUUUAUUUUUUUUUCACAUAUAUUUUUUUGUUUUAAUAAAAAUAAGAUAAAAUAAAAAUAGUUAAAAUUUAAGUUAUAACAUUAAUAAUUAAUUUUAAAAAGAACUUAUAUGUUUAUUUAAUAGUCCUGAACAAUAAAAAUUUCUAGCUACGCCUUUGCUCGGCUCCAUGCAUUAAAUGUGACAAUGCAUUGGGGAUGGCUCCACUCUUCCUCAUGACAUGUUGUCAAUUUAAGCAGAUUUUUACUCACGGCACUAGCCAUGUGUCUAUCGUGACAGUAAGGGCCGGUGGUUCAAGGAGGGAGGGAGAGAGAGAGGGUGGUGUUUUGGUGCAGGUUUCCACAUUUAUGUGGAUUUAAUCUCGUUAUUCCAAAACAAUUUAUCCAACUGUUAGUAAGAAGAAAAGGAUGAAUGAUACUAUAUAUAAUUGAACUUAAUUACAAGGCUCCAAUUAUUUGUAUAAUUGAAUUUUUUUAGAUUAAAUUAAUUCAAUUCAUUAUGUUCAUUGCUAUAAAUAAAGUUUUCUAGUUGCGUUAUGGAUAUAUAUUUUAAUAAUAAUUUUCAAUGAAAAAAUAACUGGCCAUUCAUUAAUACGACUAGAAAAAGGGCCAAUGAUAGAUGCUGCCAGACAAUUUUGCUGAUAAGAUUUUAUAUAUUAUAGUGAUAAUUAAUUUGUGAAAUCCUUGUAUUUUGGAGGUAAUUGUGAGCUGUGAUUCAUCUAUUUGGAAGUAUGGAUAUUGUUGUUUUUUAAAAUAUUUUUUGUUUGAAAAUACAUCAAAAUAAUAUAUUUUUUUAUUUUUUAAAAAUUAUUUUUAAUAUUAGCAUAUCAAAAUAUUUGAAAACACCAAAAAAUAUUAAUUUAAAACAAAAAAAAUAAAAAAAUUUUAAUUUUUUCAAAAACACUUUUAAAAUAUUAAAAUAAUAAAUUGCUAUUGAUUACAUGGUGGUCCCGUAGAGAAAAAAACAGGUAUAAAAAAAACAAAAAGAGAUAUGGAUUAUUAAAAAUAAUAAAAAUAUAUAUAUAUUUAAAAUAUUCUUGUUGUUAUUCUCGUCCCUGUAAAAUUUCUCGUUGUUAUCACUAGAGUACAACUACAAUGACCUGGCAAAACAUGCCAUUAAUAAAAUAGAAAUAAAAAUAAAAAAUCCAAGGAAGACACAGAUUUGGAAAUAGAAAAUCAAGCAUAUCUGGCUAUAAAUCACAGGAAAAGACUCAUUGAGACUGAACAGAGAGAAGCAAGCUAGCUAGCUAGUAAGAGAGAUAUGGGAUCCAUUUCCAAGCCUCAUGUUGUUGUGAUCCCAUGUCCACUCCAAGGUCAUAUAAAGACUAUGCUUAAACUUGCGAAGCUUCUUCACUACAAAGGUCUUCACAUCACGUUUGUCAGCACAGAAUUCAAUCACAAACGUUUCCUUUGGUCAAGAGGACGUCAUGCCCUUGAUGACUUGCCUGGCUUCCAUUUUAGAACCAUUCCCGAUGGUCUCCCUCCUUCAGAUAUUGAUGCCACCCAAGACAUUCCUUCUCUUUGUGAUGCCAUGAACAAGAAUUUCUUAGCACCCUUUAAAGAUCUUCUUUUGGAACUCAGAAAUACCGUUUCGGAGAACAACCCUCCGGUUACCUGCAUUGUUUCUGAUCC